rnacentral:lncRNA from 1 species
UAUAGUGAGGAAUGACAUACUGAAAAUUGGUCAAAAUCCAUGAGGGGGAAUUUUUGUCGAUUUUGCAUACACCCCUUUACAUCACCAGUAUAGAUCUAAUUACAGGAGAACAUGAAAAUGAAGAAUGCAAAAUUGAAACAGCAGAAGAGAAAGAAAUAAAAACAGGUGACCAAAAGUGCUAAAAUGUCUGAUUUUAUUAUGAAUAGAUUUGUUUUACCGGUCGAAUUUUAGUUUAAAUUGGAGUUGGUUCCAAAUCGGCAGAGAUAAAGGGAAUCAUAGCUCUUAUGGCCAAUACCUAUUUAGACCUUGUCACGUUAGAAGGAUCGGUUGAGGUUUAGACGGACUGAAACAUCUAAAAUUAAGAAUUUGGAAAAGUUACACGAUUUACAAAGAGUAAGUACUCACACUUGUGCUUAAAAGGCUAAAGGCGGCACGUCACGUACUUGUGCGGAUCAGAUGUUAAAAGACCAUGAGAAAGGGGCAGCACACACUUUUAUAAACUUGAUGACGUCACGAGUGGCGAGACGGCAAGUUUAUGCGCUAUUAGCUGGCUAUAAUCAGUGGAGCUAUCAGUUGCAAGUCUAGUCAUUAAUUUUAUUGGUGAUGGUUGGAUGAUAGAGACGAAAAGUUGAAAAGUGGACGAAAUCCAGCCAUUCCUAAUGACUAGAUUGAAUUUGAAUGAAAAAGUUAGAAGUUUAAGAAAAAUGAGGAGAGGUAUUAUUGCGGCACUACGGUGCACGCGACAGACCUUUUUUAAGUUAUGUGUGGCAAGUUCGUGCGGCUUCCUGCGCUUGAGACGUCUAGUUUGCCCAGCCCAAAAAGCUUAAUGACCUCUAGGUUGGGGUCGGAGGUCACACGUUUCAUGUAUAUACCGUACAUAUGGGAGACUAAACCCUCAGAAUCUCAUAAGCAUCACGAACAUUACAAUUUUUUCUACCUGAUUCGAAUUUUCCGUGCAACAAUUGAGACAACAGUGUUCCGCUGCCAGAUUUUUGCCAAAUUCCAUGUUUCUAGGUGAAACUUUGACAUAGAUGAACUUAAAUGUUCCGCUGCAGGAAUAUUUCCUCCGAUAAAAAGAAGCCACGGCAUUUUUGGUGUGCAAAACCACUACGCAAUAAAAUAGUAAUCAAACCAAUUUGGUAAAGGAAACCAUACGGAUUUCCUCUGACAGAUCAUAAUGCCAAUUACCGUUGAUGGUCGACCGUAAGUACUGUGCCUCAAAGAUGUGAAGAACUACAGACAUUAUUUUGACUUCUCAUCCAUUCGUCGUAAGCAUGCUUCACACUACUUCAAACGCCCAAUGUCGUCGCUUUCUCAAGGGUAGCCUUUUAGUGCCUUAUUUAAACUUUUCUCAUGAUAGAUUUAUUGUUUAUAUUUUUUUCCACCCCUUACAUCAGCAAAUCUUGAAUAUUUGUUUCAAGUUAUUAGUGUCAUCGAUACCUUGUCAUUCUGUACAA